GGGGCGGCUCCGUGCUGGCGCGUCCCCGGCCGCCGGUCCACCUCGGUUCAGCCGGCCACUCGAGGUGCCCCGGGGAAGGCGGAGCAGGCCACCCUCGAAGAACGCAGGCUCCGUCGGUCUCUCGCCACCUCCAGCCCUGCUUGGACCUAGGACUUGAGCCGCCCUGCGCGCGCGCCACGGAGGAUGGGCUGUGACCGUGCCCAGAUGACUGUGCCCCCGGCGGCAGGUGCCAGCCAAGGUACUGACCCCAGACCCCCACCCCCUUGACCUCCCUGUCACCUUCCCCAUCCCUCUCGUCCAGCCGGAUGCCUAGACCGUCACUGUGGCCACCGCACAGGAACUUCUACCCUCCCGGCUCUGAGCUAACCACGAGAUGGCGGUCGGCGGCCCCACUGCAGGCAGGACCCCCCACCUGCAGCCCCCACCGGUCUCCAUUCACGCCUCCACAGCAGGGUGCAUCGAGCCCACGCUCCCCCAUCACUGGGUGGACUGUCCCGCCCUGCCGUCUCCGCCAACUCCCCCACGUGGCGUCUUCGUCCUGAUGCUCAGCUGAGAGUUCCAUCCGGAGAGGCUUCCAACGACCCACCCACACCACCACCCCUGGGGUGCGUACUCAGCCAGGCUGCCCGUGGUCUCAGCCAGGCUCCUCCACUGCGUCAGCCUGGCCGCCCCCCACGCCCGUCUUCAGCCCACGGCUGGUGACCCUCAGCGCCCAACCGUGUCUUCUAGAGGCCCCGCCCCCACGCCCCUCCAGCAGCACCGCAAGCGCUCUGCUCCUCAGGGUGCACGUCCGUGGAAGGGCCCCCCCGCCACCUCCACUAGCCUCCAGGCCCACAAAUCACAUCAGGCAAGACCAGAGAAGCCCCCUGAGCCGCCCCAGUGCCCAGGCCUCUGGCCUCCCUGUGCGUCCACCCGCUCCCCACUUCUGUCUCUGGAAGCCCCUUCUGCAUGGGGUCCUGACCCGCCUCACCGACUCCCUCC